rnacentral:rRNA from 1 species
UACAGAGGUCCCAAGCGUUGUUCGGAUUCACUGGGCGUAAAGGGUGCGUAGGUGGCAGGGUAAGUUUGAUGUGAAAUCUCCGAGCUUAACUCGGAAACUGCAUUAAAUACUAUCCGGCUAGAGGGUUGGAGGGGGGACUGGAAUACUUGGUGUAGCAGUGAAAUGCGUAGAUAUCAAGUGGAACACCAGUGGCGAAGGCGAGUCCCUGGACAACUCCUGACACUGAGGCACGAAAGCGUGGGGAUCAAACAGG